rfam:Candidatus Nitrososphaera sp. 13_1_40CM_48_12 13_1_40cm_scaffold_167, whole genome shotgun sequence.
UAAGCCGGUCAUAGCGGCAGGGUGCGACCCGGUCCCAUUCCGAACCCGGAAGUCAAACCUGCCGUCGCUGCUGUGUUACUGAUCUGCGUGAGCGGUCGGGAAGCAGCAGUGCUGGCAUCU